rnacentral:rRNA from 1 species
AGCGAACGCUGGCGGCAGGCCUAACACAUGCAAGUCGAACGAACUCUUCGGAGUUAGUGGCGGACGGGUGAGUAACACGUGGGAACGUGCCUUUAGGUUCGGAAUAACUCAGGGAAACUUGUGCUAAUACCGAAUGUGCCCUUCGGGGGAAAGAUUUAUCGCCUUUAGAGCGGCCCGCGUCUGAUUAGCUAGUUGGUGAGGUAAAGGCUCACCAAGGCGACGAUCAGUAGCUGGUCUGAGAGGAUGAUCAGCCACAUUUGGACUGAGACACGGCCCAAACUCCUACGGGAGGCAGCAGUGGGUAAUCUUGCGAAAUGGGCGAAAGCCUGACGCAGCCAUGCCGCGUGAAUGAUGAAGGUCGUAGGAUUGUAAAAUUUUUUCACCGGUGACGAUAAUGACGGUACCCGGAGAAGAAGCCCCGGCUAACUUCGUG